rnacentral:rRNA from 1 species
CCUACGGGGGGCUGCAGUGGGGAAUAUUGCACAAUGGGCGCAAGCCUGAUGCAGCCAUGCCGCGUGUGUGAAGAAGGCCUUCGGGUUGUAAAGCACUUUCAGCGGGGAGGAAGGCGGUGAGGUUAAUAACCUCAUCGAUUGACGUUACCCGCAGAAGAAGCACCGGCUAACUCCGUGCCAGCAGCCGCGGUAAUACGGAGGGUGCAAGCGUUAAUCGGAAUUACUGGGCGUAAAGCGCACGCAGGCGGUCUGUCAAGUCGGAUGUGAAAUCCCCGGGCUCAACCUGGGAACUGCAUUCGAAACUGGCAGGCUAGAGUCUUGUAGAGGGGGGUAGAAUUCCAGGUGUAGCGGUGAAAUGCGGAGAGAUCUGGAGGAAUACCGGUGGCGAAGGCGGCCCCCUGGACAAAGACUGACGCUCAGGUGCGAAAGCGUGGGGAGCAAACAGGAUUAGAUACCCCUGUAGUC